GAUGAAGAACGUAGCGAAAUGCGACAAGUAAUGUGAAUUGCAGAAUUCCGUGAAUCAUCGAAUCUUUGAACGCACAUUGCGCCCACUGGUAUUCCGGUGGGCAUGCCUGUUCGAGCGUCAUUAUCCUCCCUCAAACCCCGGGUUUGGUGUUGGACCCAAGUUGUGUGAACAACUGGUCUCAAAGACAAUGACGGCGUCCGUGGGACCCUCGGUGCAACGAGCUUUUAGGAGCACGCAUCGAGUUGCAAGGACCUUCCGGGCCGGUCUCCUUUACCAUUUUACAAGGUUGACCUCGGAUCAGGUAGGAAUACCCGCUGAACUUAAGCAUAUCAAUAAGCGGAGGA
rnacentral:misc_RNA from 1 species